rnacentral:lncRNA from 1 species
ACCCACUCAUCCUGAUUAAAUUAUGUACAAAAUGAUACAGCAUAUAUUCAUUGGUGCCCUUUCGACUUCUCCAGGGUCAUCCCCCACCCAUUUAACCAACAUGCAAAAACAUUUCAUAUAUAUAUAUAUAAAUUAUAGUAAAAAGCAAUCAAAUAAUUGGACAAAAGCAUAGAAUGACCUUGUACCUGUUGCAUGUAUAUAAUUACGUUUUUAAUUCAUGAAACAUUGGAGGAAAAAAUAAAACUUUUAAGUUGCCUCUUCUAUUACUCAUAUACAAAUCCCAUGACAAAAAAUAGUAUGAAACUAACAAGAGAAAUCAUGUUUGUACCUCUCUGCUUCGUGUCUCGUUUAACAGCCGCUUCAAUGGUUAAUUUCUUCUGUCUCUCAUGAAUCAUUGAUCGUUUAGGUUUUGCAGUUCACUGCUUCUGCUAUAUUGUUGCUUUGCAAUUGCCACCAGAGUCCGAGUGCAUCAUCUUCAACACCAUUGAAUCUAUUCCGUGUCCUAUCAAAUCUAAAGUAACGAGUGGUGAUGAAUUGGGAUUUGAGCAUUCCGAAAAUGAGUUGCCCCACGAUUCCACGCUCCAACCUUGGGUGGUCUGCUUCAAAAGAGAAAAAGUCGAAUCAUUUCAUUUCGUGCCCUAGAUUUCUUGUAUCUCCGAAUCGUGUUUUUAUUCAAGGAGCACUAAUGAAGUAUCAAUUGCUUGGAGUUUAAACAACGCACUCGCCUUAUUCUACUUGGUAUGCCCUAGAAUCUGGAUAUAUCCCUGAGUGAAUCUCUCGCCGUCGCACAUUGUGCUAGCUUCAAUCGUAAAUCGUAAUAGAUCCCCAAACAUCCCAAAAACAUUCUUAGGGUUCUGAAUUCUGAAAGGUCGUAUUCAGAAAAUGACGUGAUAACAAUUUCUCUUAUUUGGUUUUAAAUUAUUUAAUAAAAAUAAAGGUUAAGGUUAAGAAAUAACCCAACAAAUUUGUUUUUAACAAAAAUAAUCAUUUUGUACGAAUUGCUAAUUCCAAAGAAAAAAAAAUUUCUGAUAUAAAAAUACAUAUUUCGGAAUUAAAACUCUGAAAUUUCAAAAACUAAUCUGAAAUCUGAUUAAUAAUUUCAGAAUUUCAAGUAAAAAAAAGAUUUCUUUUAUUUGAAUAUA